rnacentral:lncRNA from 1 species
AAGCAUGUUCACAAAUGUUCUUUGAAAUUUUUUUAUCGUGACUGCCCUAAAGCCAUGGUCAAAUAAUUCUAAUACCUGUGUCAUCUCAGCAGUGGUGGGUAUUAAUUUUCUUUUCUCAUUUACAUUAAGCUUUUCUGAUUCUUGGUAUGAUUAGUAAUCUUCAAUUGAAUUCUGGAUAUUUUGGGUGUCAUGAAACUUUGGAUCAUAUUUAAGUCAUGUGUUUUAGCAGCCUUUUCUGACUCUGUAUGGGGUUAGGGGUGAAGAGAGAGGGUUUUGCCUCAUUACUCCUAAGUGGCAGUAGAAGUGCAUGUUCUGCCUCCACUGACAUGAUUGAGAUGUGAGGUGCACUUUGUUAUUGUUAGGCAGGGCUGGGAGUACUAGCUCCCCACUACAUUUCUGCUACACCAUCCUGGCUGGGAGAGAGAGACGCGAUUCAUUACUGCUCUCCAUGAGGCUCUCCUUGGCUUCACUACUAGGACUCCCUUGAUACCAUCCCAGUGGACAGGGGCACUUCAUUACUGUUAGAUGGAGGUGGAAGGCCAGGUUUUCCACUAGCUCUUUGGGGGCAGCAGGGGGAUGGGGUGGCCCAUUACUUGACCUUCUGAAAUGCUACUCUGGGAGGGACACUUUGUUACAGCCUGCCAAGGAUGAAAGUUUGAAGUCUUCAGGUAGCCUUUGCUGCUUGGGGGUGCCCAUAUUUUUUUGUAAUAUUUUCCUGGUUAUAGGGCAGUUAUUAUUUACAAAUUUUCUGUUUGGCUGGUGUGCCCCUUUCCUGGCCUUUGGCUAGAGAGUGUAGGGUUUUCUUCAAGCCAUUGUUUUUUGAUCCAUACCAGCUGGCAUUUCCAGGUUGCCACCUACACCAAAUCUAUUGCACAAUAUAUGAGGCAAAAAACAAAAACAAAGAAACAAAACAAAACAAAAAACACAAAACCUCAUGGAACUCACUUUCAUGUGGUUAACUAAGUAUACUUAGCAAAAGGAAUGGAGGAAAGUACAUCCGCUCUUUUUUGAAUCCUUCCUUUGUUUUUCCUGUGGUAUUUUAAGUCAAAUCCCAGGCAUCAUAUCAUUUCACCCAUAAGAAUGUAGUUAGUACUGGAAAAAUAUUAUUAAAAAAUAUAGCUAUGAUACCAGUGUCAGACCCCCUAAAAUUGAAAAUAAAUCUUUAGUAGCUAAUAAUCGGCUUUCACCAUCACCCCUGAAGAUUACCUCAAAAUAUUGUUUUAUACCUGUGUUCAAAUAAAUAGCCCAGAUAAAGUACAAACAUUGCAACUGAUUGUUGGACCAAUAUAAUUCCCCUCCCUUUUCCCUACCUAUGUCAUUUGUUUGAAAAAAAAAAUUGGUCCUGUGGUACUUCCCACAUUCUAGAUCUGGUUGACCGUAUUCUUGAGGUAUCAUUUAAUAUGUUUUACCAUGCUCCAUAGUUACUACAAACUGGUGACUAAAAUAUAAAGGUAUGAUUACAUUUAGGUUCAAUUUUUUUGGACAAAGAGAUUUCACAGGCACUUUGUGUGUCUUUUGUUGCACCAUUUAAGUAGAUACAUAAUGUGUGAUUAUCUUAUUUUUCAAAAGUUAACAAUAAUCAGUAGGUUCUGGGGGUAAUAGCUUGAAUUAUUCAUUAAAAAGUUCCAUAUUGACUGUUCAUCUAAUGCAGGGUUUCUCAAAUAAAUUGCUAUUUUGGGCCAGAUAAUACUUUGUUAUGGGGGACUGACCUGUGCAUUGCAUGAUAUUCAGUAGCAUCCCUGGCACCCUCAAAACACACACAUCAUCUCGUUGUGACAAUAAAAAAUGUAUCCAGGUAUUGCCAAAUGUCCCCCAGAGAGAAAAUGGUCCCCAAAUGAGAAUACUUGACUCACUUUUAGCAGUCACUAAUAACUGUUGCCCGGGUCCAUCCAUUAUCUCAUUAGAGUUUGCAAAGUUGUGGUUUUUUAAAUUCUAUCAUUCCUGUGUUUACAACUGUGAUUUUUUAAAAAAAUUUUGGCCACACCCUCAGCAUGUGGAAGUUCCUAGGCCAGGGACUGUACCCAUAUCACAGCUGUAACCAGAGCCACAGCAGUGACAACACUGGGUCCUUAACUCACUGAGCCAUAAGGGAAUUCCUACAACCAUAAUUUUUCAAAGAAAUACUUUUUCUGAGUCUAUCCUGUGAAGGCAGAGUAAGAGUUAAUUUUAUUUAGCAAUGUUUCUAGAAUAAUAAGCCGUGCCCUAACAAUCUCCAAAAGUGAGACCAAUUAACUUUUGUUUGGAGUAUUAUUUGUAAUUCUUGAAUAUUUACAGAUCUCAUGUAUUUCAGUCCUUUGCAGUCAUUUUUAUUUUUGAUGUUGAUGUUUUUCCAUCUUUGGUCAAUAAAAAUCUUUUUCAAGUUAGGUCCAGUUUCCUUUCAAUAUGGCCCUAACAGUUUGAUAAUUUUCUUGCUUUCAUUUAUGACAAAAACAGAUAAUCCAGACUCAUCUUACAUAAUUCCUGCCCCAGACCUCAAAUCAGCCACUUAACCAAGGAAUCCUCAUUCCAUUUCCAGGGUAAUGGUAUUUAGGGACCACAAUCUGGGCACAAUGGGUGCAUAUUGUUAUUGGGUUGUCACUACUUUAAAGUUUUUUCAAUGUGUAGGACCAGAAAAUGCAUAUUUUUGAGUGAUAAAAGUACAUUGAUUUCAUCUCUUUCUUUCUCGCUCCCCAUUCCAAUCUGUCACAUUACCACCAUUGAGACUUCUUUGUUGUUCAUUCCAUCCUUAGGUUAUAUCCUAAUAAAGAGGUACAAUCUAAAUACUGUGUCUAAAUGACACUUUAACUUUUCUUUGUUUAUGCCACUAAUAUGAUAAACAGGUUUAUUUGUUUUUGUUUGUUUUCAGUUUUUAGGCAAAGCUCUCUUAAAGUUUAAUUUUGUUUUUAGCUAUACAAAAUAUGUAUGGCUCCAAAGUUAGAACUAUAAGACAAGGCAUGUUUUGAAAAGUCUAGACUUCAUCAUUAUCUCUUCCUUCAUAGCCUCUUUCUUCUCUAAGAUCACAGUUUUCAUUAGAUUUGGUUUAUACUUCUGUUUUUAAAACAUGCACAUACACACACACAUGCAUGUGCACCCCUGAAAGUAGCAUAUGAUGUAUAAUAUCCUGCACCUUAUAUUAAAAUUUUUAUAGGAAAAUAUGCACAACAUAAAACAUCACCUAGCCAUAUUUAAGUAUAGAAUUUAGUGGCACUAAGUACAUUCACAAUAUUGUGCAAUCAUUAUCACAUUAUUAAUUUUCAGAACAUUUUCAUCAUCCUUAAUGGAAAUGCUAUACCCAUUAAACUCUAUUCCUCAUUCCCUUCUACCACAUCAUCACUUGGUAAACUUUAUUCUUUGUUCUAGCUCAAUAGAUUUGCCUAAUUCUAUCUGCACUUUAGUUUUUGUUUUUUAAUUUAAUUAUAU